rnacentral:rRNA from 1 species
UACGGAGGGAGCUAGCGUUGUUCGGAAAUACUGGGCGUAAAGCGCACGUAGGCGGCGCAGCAAGUCAGGGGUGAAAUCCCGGGGCUCAACCCCGGAACUGCCUCUGAAACUGCAGUGCUAGAAUCUUGGAGAGGCGAGUGGAAUUCCGAGUGUAGAGGUGAAAUUCGUAGAUAUUGGGAAGAACACCGGUGGCGAAGGCGGCUCACUGGCUCAUUACUGACGCUCAGGCGCGAUAGCGUGGGGAUCAAACAGG